CAAGAGAAAAACUGUCUUUAUAUUAAAGUUUGAAUUUAACUUUUAAGUGAAAAGGCUUAAAUAUUCUAAAGGGACGAUAAGACCCUAUAAAACUUUACAUUAAUAAUUAAUAUUUUAUUUUUUUUUGUCCCAUAUAACAAUAAUAUUUAAUUUUUUGUUAUGUUGGAGAGACAAAAACUAUAUUUUAUUUUAACUGCUUGAAGAAAAAUCCAUAACUUAUCGACCCAUAUUUAUAGAUCCUUCCUAAACAUUAAAAGAUUAAAUUACUUUAUGGAUAACAGCCUUUUUUUUUUUGAGACUUCCUAU
rnacentral:rRNA from 1 species